CUGUAGAGAGGGAUUCUUUCAAUAUGCCACCCAUCCCAAUUUGUCAUCCAUUAUUGUUGGUUUAAAAUUAUGUUAAUAUUUUAUGUUUAUUGGUAAAUGAUGUUCUAAUAUCUGUCUGAUGACUUGACGGACACAUUUAAAAGGAACUGUCCCCUAGUGUUAUUCUUACAUGUUUUUCUUCUAGGCUUGUAAACCAUUGUUUGAACGGCUGAACUUUGUAAUUAUUGGAUGCGACCGUGCCGGGAAAAGUGAAGUAUGUAAUGCCAUACUUGGGAAAAAGAAAUUUAGUUUUUUGUACUUACUGAAAAAAAGACAUGAGACGGCUACAAGGGAGGCACGUGGGAGGACAAUAACAGUUACCCGUGCAGCGGGCUGGAAUGAGGACAACCUUGGCAAAAAAGAUGUAGAAAGAGAGAUGAUGUACUGUGUAAAUAGGUCACGCAAAGCUGGACUUCAUGCUGUUGUCUUUGUUGUGAAUGCUAAUAGACCCUACUCAGAUGCAACAACCAAAACCUUAGAAGAGCUUCUCCCAAAGAAGGUGUGGGAUCAUACCAUCGUUGUUCUUCGUAAUGCAGAAGCUCAUGGUGAGAAGCUUGGCGAUUCUCUCCAGAGCCUUGUUCAGAAAUGUGGAAACCGAUGUUGUGUCCUCAACAGAAAAUCCAAAUGUGACAUCACUGACAGGCUUGAGGCAAUGAUAGCGGAGAAAAAACAGAUUUACUUUGGAGGAAAAGGUGAUGAGGAAGACAAAGAAAAAAACAGUCUGAUUGCAAAUCUCAGACACAACAUUAAAUAUCUUCAAGAGCAAAAAAAUAAAGAAGAAGAAAGGCAACUUGAGGAAACGACACGGGAAGCCAAAAAGGAGCUUCAGAAGAGUACAGCACUGAAAGAUAUUGAAAUACAAAACCUUCAAGAGAUCUGCCGAAAACAGGAGGACGAACUGAAAUCAUUGCAGCAAGAAAAAUGCUCAGAUGCUCCGUCACAAGGAGCGGCGGUAAAAACACCCUGUCUGGAAAUCGCAUGGCCCAUCAAAUUACUGGAGAUUUUGGAUAACCUAGAUGAAAAAGAAUUCAAGAGACUGAAGUUUUUUCUACACCAAAAAAAAAGAAUACCCAAAUUACUUGACAGAGAUGAUCUUGCUGAUAAAAUGAUACAGGUAUGGGGUACACCCCAGUGUAUCAGCGAAACAGAGGAUCAGCUGAAAGCUUUGCAGCGCCAUGAUUUGGUGCAAAACCUUAUGGAAUUUAGGAAAGGUGAGUCAUUUGAUGUACUUAAAUUUACUUAAACCCCCCUGACCUCAAAGUUUGCCUUCAUUUACAUAGUAGGCUACUUUCAUUUAGCUGACUUAAAAUGGUGUAUCAGUGUAGAUGUGAAAAUAACUGGUCUUCUCCUUGCUUUUCUUUCACCUCUCUCAUCCUGAACCUUCCUUUCAUACUGUUUGGGAUACUGAUCUUUGUGAAGACUUGUGUGGCACUACCAUUCAACCAGUGGACACCCCCUCAACUGUACCAAGCACAAAAUGAUCCCAUCAUGUUGACAGUGUCAUGAUGCCCUUAACCUGUCCAAGGAAACAGGAAAUUGUCCAAGCAGCAACAACACAAAUCUGUAUUUGAGGUCUUUUGUUCUUUGCUUGAAUAUCUGAAAAUGCCCAAAUGUGACUUUUUGAGGACACAUAAAGCUGCAUGUGUGUCAGAUCUCAGGUUCAGUUCAUAGGCUAUACCUGCUCGGACUCCAACCAAAAAGACUUGAAAUACUUUAGACUUUAACAUUCAAGGAUACAAUUUUUAUUCAACAGUGUACAGGAACAGAGUGACUUUUGAUAUUUUGAUGUCAUUGUACUGAAAACAAUAUGCUCGGA
ensembl:lncRNA